CCCUUAGAUGUUCUGGGCCGCACGCGCGCUACACUGAUGCAUUCAACGAGUCUAAAACCUGCUCUGAUAGGGGUGGGUAAUCUUUUGAAUGUGCAUCGUGAUUGGGAUAGAUGAUUGCAAUUUUUCAUCUUCAACGAGGAAUGCCUAGUAAACGCAAGUCAUCAGCUUGCAUUGAUUACGUCCCUGCCCUUUGUACACACCGCCCGUCGCUCCUACCGAUUGAAUGAUCCGAUGAAUAUCAUGGAUUGAGGAUUAUAGCAGGUUCGCCUGUCUUGAUCUUCGAGAAGUGAAGUAAAUCUUAUCAUUUAGAGGAAGGAGAGGUCGUAACA
rnacentral:rRNA from 1 species